UAUCAAUGAUGAUACCCGAUCUUGGUCCGUGUUUCUGACUUCUGUGAUUUAUGAGAUCUUCAUUUUCUGAGGCA
rfam:Tetranychus urticae London genomic scaffold, scaffold_30